ACAAUUGUGUCCAGAAUUGGUGGGUUCUUGGUCUUGCUGACUUCAAGAAUGAAGCUGUGGACCUUCACGGUGAGUGUUACAGUUCUUAAAGAUGGUGCAUCUGGAGUUUGUUCCUUCCGAUAUUCGGACAUGUCUGGAGUUUCUUCCUUCUGGUGGGUUCGUGGUCUCGCUGACUUCAGGAGUGAAGCUGCAGACCUUCGCAGUGAGUGUUAUAGCUCAUAAAGGCAGCGCGUCUGGAGUUGUUCGUUCUCCCAGGUGAGUUCGUGGUCUCGAUGGCUUCAGGAGCGAAGCUGCAGACCUUCACGGUGAGUGUUACAGCUCACAAAGGCGGUGCAGACCCAAAGAGUGAGCAGAAGCAAGAUUUAUUGCAAAGAGCAAAAGAACAAAUCUUCCACAGUAUGAAAGGGGACCGGAGUGGCUGCCAGUGCUGGCUGGGGCAGCCUGCUUUUAUUCCCUUAUCUUACCCCACCCACAUCCUGCUGAUUGGUCCAUUUUACAGAGGGCCGAUUGGUCCGUUUUGACAGGGUGCUGAGUGGUGCCUUUACAAUCCCUUAGCUAGUCAGAAAAGAUCUCCAAGUCCCCACCCAACCAGAAGCCCAGCCUGCUUCACCUCUCACUGGCACUCUCCGGGGGACUUUGCGGAACCUAGCCCAGGAACUCUGACAGCCCAGAGGGAGUCAUCGUAGACAACCAAGAGGAAAAGAGGGAAAGGGAGAAAGAGACAAGAGACCCGCCAUCGUGGACAACCAGGACCUAGCGCCCCGAUCAAGCCCAGCAGGCUCCGCGCGGCGCCCACCCGGAAGUCCCGCCUGCCCUACAGGGCCACGCGCAGCCCAGGUUACCACCCGCGCCUGUCCCUCCACACCUCCUCCCGAGCAGAGGGAACGGGCUCCGGCCUCAGCCAGCCCCAGAGAGGGCCCCCCACAGCGCAGCGUCGGGCUGAAGGGCUCCUCAAGCGCAGCCAGAGCAGAUGCCGAGGCAGAGGAGGCGCCAAGAGUGAGCCACGGCUGCUGGCAGAGUCUCACUCUGUUGCCCAGGCUGGAGUGCAGUGGCGCAAUCUUGGCUCACUGCAGCCUCUGUCUCCCUGGUUCAAGUGAUUCUCAUGCCUCAGCCUCCCGAGUAGCUGGGACUACAAGCGUGUGCCACCACGCCUGGAAAACAAGAACAGUAACAACGACAAAAACUCAAGAAACAGGAAUGCAAGCUCUACAUUUUGUUAAACUAAAGACAUUUCUUACUCAUAACAAUCAGAUAUAAAAAAGUGCUGCCACAGGGGCAAGAAUGAUGCUGAGAAGGUCUUUAAUGGCUACAAAUAUUGGAUUAAGCUGACUGAGCAGUUCUUACACCGAGAAGCAAAACAACAACCUUUUGCUUCAAUAAACAGCAAACAAAUUUCUGAGGAUGCAAGAAGUGUAGCAGAAAGACAGAAAAAGAAGAGGAAUGGAGUGGAUAAAGGAAAAAAAAGAAAACAAUGAAGAAGAGGAAAGACAAGGAGAAGAGGAAGAAUGGUACUAUUUCUUCUGUAUUUAGUUUUUACCAGCUUUGGAAGAGCUGUGGUUUUGGAAGCCUUAUGAUCAGCUAUUCCUAUCCAGACUUUGGCAAAAAAUCCUUGAAUUCCUGUCUAUUGAUAAUUGGUGGGCAAUUAGGCUAGUUCCAGAUUCCGUCUUGCAACUUCAUGUGUAAGGAGACUUGCAUCAAAUGGUAAAGGCUAAUAAUAGUCCACAAAAAUGUUUAUUUGGCAGUAACUACAGGAAUGCACAAAGCCUAGCCUCUUGGAGAGUGGUCAUAUGUUUCAUCUUAUCUGUUUUACUUAGAAGAUCUCAUCUAUAAUCCUUUCCUCCGGAGCAAGAAAUAUUAACCAUUAGGGCAACUGUAGCCCUUGGCCCAAUUGCUGUUUCUCAGCCUGUGGUAACUAUGGAAAUUAUCUUCCAUCCUGAACUCCUACUUG